AGAGUUUGAUCCUGGCUCAGGACGAACGCUGGCGGCGUGCUUAACACAUGCAAGUCGAGCGGUAAGGCCCUUCGGGGUACACGAGCGGCGAACGGGUGAGUAACACGUGGGUGAUCUGCCUCGUACUCUGGGAUAAGCCUGGGAAACUGGGUCUAAUACCGGAUAGGACCAUCUGCUUCAUGGUGGGUGGUGGAAAGUUU
rnacentral:rRNA from 1 species